AUAAGGACGUUACCGCCGGCCACGUGCGUCAUCCACGAAAUAAUAUAAUGAUGUUAACUUGUAUAUUUAUCUUAACUUUAUCAAUUAUAAGUGUUCAAUCACAAAGAGUGGCGCCAUCUAGUGGGCGGCAUGUCUCCCCAAACACCAACGCGUUUGCUGCGACAGAACCAUCUAUACCAAAGACAGCGGAAGCCGCUGUACCAAAUACUAUUCUGCCAGUCAUACCAUUUAUAACCGAAUUGCCAACGUGUCCAGAUCUGUGCUUUGAUGAUAUUUUAAAGUCACCUUUGGGUUGUUUAGAUCCAAUUUUAGAUGUGUAUGGCAAAACAACAGCAAAGCCAGGCACGGAUACGCCCGGGGGCCCGCCGAUAGCAUCGCGAGUUGCACGUCUAGCUCUUUCGUCCACUCUACCGGGCUGCGAUUGUAGGAAUCACUUUUUGGACAGACUGUCGAUACCGCCGCCAUUUAUUUAAUCUAAUUUAUUGUAAAUUUAUAACUUUAAUUUAAUACUAAUAUAAAUAUUUUAUUACAUAAA